rnacentral:tRNA from 1 species
GCGGGAAUGGCGGAACUGGUAGACGCGUACGUUUGAGGGGCGUAUGGGAUUCCCAUGUCGGUUCAAGUCCGAUUUCCCGCA